AGGCAAUAUCCUCAUUGAGAUGAGAUCUCAAGUCCAUUUGUGAAUUUGAGUAGUUAUUAUAGAAUAGAUAGAAGAAACCUUAAAGAUGAUCUUCUCCAACUCUUACCUGAAGCAUAAACUACUGGAUUAUCUCUGACAAGUCAUUAUUCAACUUCUACUUGAAUACCUCCAGUGACAUAGAACUCAUUACCUCAUGAAGCAAGCACAUACCAUUUCUGAAGAGCUCUCAUUCCCAGCCCCAACGGCUAUAGUCCAGCUAAGCCACCCUUGUGGAGGAGGAGAUUAUCAUCUCUACCACUACCUACCCCCAGAUCCUGACAAACUCCCACCAAUGGGCAGGUAA
rnacentral:lncRNA from 1 species